rnacentral:hammerhead_ribozyme from 1 species
AUCCAGUUGAUGAGUCCCAAAUAGGACGAAACGCAUGUCCUUGAU